rnacentral:rRNA from 1 species
UGGCGGCAGGCUUAACACAUGCAAGUCGAGCGGUAGCAGAUCUAGCUUGCUAGAUGCUGACGAGCGGCGGACGGGUGAGUAACGCGUAGGAACCUGCCCAGUAGUGGGGGAUAGCCCGGGGAAACUCGGAUUAAUACCGCAUACGCUCUACGGAGGAAAGAGGGGGCUUCGGCUCUCGCUAUUGGAUGGGCCUGCGUGAGAUUAGCUAGUUGGUGAGGUAAUGGCUCACCAAGGCGACGAUCUCUAGCUGGUCUGAGAGGAUGAUCAGCCACACUGGGACUGAGACACGGCCCAGACUCCUACGGGAGGCAGCAGUGGGGAAGUAUUGCACAAUGGGCGCAAGCCUGAUGCAGCCAUGCCGCGUGUGUGAAGAAGGCUUUCGGGUCGUAAAGCACUUUCAGUGGGGAGGAAGGCCUCGUAGUUAAUAGCUGCGAGGAUUGACGUUACCCACAGAAGAAGCACCGGCUAACUCCGUG